UGUAGGAACAGUACAUUUCAUUUCCCAAAAGUUUCAGUGAGUGUCAGGGGGGAAAAAAACAGCCAUUUUAUUACUCCAGCUGAAAAGGACUCUGAGAUCAGUCCCUUCCCUCACCCCUCACCUCGAGAAUUCCCAGCUGUGCUUAUACAACAAAAUGAGCAACCCUGCUCUGGCUGGUUGAGACAAGUGAGGAUACACAGCAGUCAGAAGAAUACUACCCAGCUCUCCUAA
rnacentral:lncRNA from 12 species